ACUCCAGCGUCUGCUGUGCGUCGGCCUCGGCCAUUCUUCGCGGCGCUUGGAGCCCUGCUCUUUCCUUCUAAAGGCUCUCACACUUUGCCCGCUCUGCUACCCUGUCCAGUCGGAAUUGGAGGAAGGAAGCCCUAAUACGGAGGGCACCUUUCUUCACUGGGGUAAAGUAGCCCUAAUUGCAGAUGCAAAAUUGAUGGAGGGAGCUCCCAAGGACCUUCCAAGACACCCGCCUCCCUAGACAGGGGUUGCAGAGGAGCAAAGGGGAAGCCUGGCAGGGCUAGGACCUGGGCGAAAUGAGUGGAGAAUCCCUGGCUUGGUGCAACUUUAGGAAGAGGGUCCCCGUUGCUACUGCAAGUGUACUGGGAUUGGGGAACCAGCUAGAUUUGAGCAGUUGGGAACGCAGUGGAAAAGCAACUUCAUUGUUGACUGUCUCAGGAAAUCCAUCCCUUACUUGCCACCCUGCUCAAGUCCGUGUUCUAAUGGGAAUGUAUAAUGUACAAAAUAGAAGACUGCCUCAAGAAGAAAGGAGAGAUGGAGAAAGCUGAGCAGUAGCUGAAAGAGAAUGUAAGGUCUAGAAAAUGGAGAUUGGCACCAUCCAAUUCAUUUAUUGUAAGUGAAAAUAAUUGUUAAUAAUUGGAAAUGCAGUGGGACAUGAUGGCUUAUGCCUGUAGUCCCAGCACUUUGGGAGGCUGAGGCCUGAGGAUCUCUUCAGACCAGGAGUUUGAGACCAGCCUAGGCAACACAGAGAAACUCUGUCUCUACAAAAAAUAAAAAAUUAGUCCAGG